rnacentral:rRNA from 1 species
AACGAACGCUGGCGGCGUGCCUAAUACAUGCAAGUCGAGCGAAUGGAUUAAGAGCUUGCUCUUAUGAAGUUAGCGGCGGACGGGUGAGUAACACGUGGGUAACCUGCCCAUAAGACUGGGAUAACUCCGGGAAACCGGGGCUAAUACCGGAUAAUAUUUUGAACUGCAUGGUUCAAAAUUGAAAGGCGGCUUCGGCUGUCACUUAUGGAUGGACCCGCGUCGCAUUAGCUAGUUGGUGAGGUAACGGCUCACCAAGGCAACGAUGCGUAGCCGACCUGAGAGGGUGAUCGGCCACACUGGGACUGAGACACGGCCCAGACUCCUACGGGAGGCAGCAGUAGGGAAUCUUCCGCAAUGGACGAAAGUCUGACGGAGCAACGCCGCGUGAGUGAUGAAGGCUUUCGGGUCGUAAAACUCUGUUGUUAGGGAAGAACAAGUGCUAGUUGAAUAAGCUGGCACCUUGACGGUACCUAACCAGAAAGCCACGGCUAACUACGUGCCAGCAGCCGCGGUAA